GAUGAAGAACGUAGCGAAAUGCGAUAAGUAAUGUGAAUUGCAGAAUUCAGUGAAUCAUCGAAUCUUUGAACGCACAUUGCGCCCGCCAGUAUUCUGGCGGGCAUGCCUGUUCGAGCGUCAUUUCAACCAUCAAGCCCUGCUUGCGUUGGGGUCCUGCGGCUGCCCGCAGGCCCUGAAAACCAGUGGCGGGCUCGCUAGUCACACCGAGCGCAGUAAUACAUCUCGCUUUGGGCGUGCGGCGGGUUCUUGCCGUUAAACACCCCCUUUUUACCAAGGUUGACCUCGGAUCAGGUAGGAAUACCCGCUGAACUUAAGAAUAUCAAUAAGCGGAGGA
rnacentral:misc_RNA from 1 species